ACCAAUACUACCUGUCUGGGAAACUCAGAAAAUUACCAUGAAGAUCAAAGGAGAAAAGAUAUAUUAAGACACCAGAACACACUGUGAUAGAGAGAAGAGAAGAAUGGCAAACUCCAGUUGGGUAACUGCCUUAUCCUAGUUAUCAAGAACUUCGAAGAAAUAUGGACACAGAAAGAGACAUCAGGGAUCUUCAUGUGCAGAAGAAAGAUUGUGUGAAGACCAAGAAGGUGGUCACCUGGAAGCCACAGAGUCCUUCACAGAAGCCAGACCUGCUGACACUUUGACCUUGAACUUCUGGACUCCAAACCUCUGAGAAUACUGAGGAUCCAGAAAAUGAAGUGAAUUACCCAAGAUAAUACAGUAAUUGUAUAGCAGUCCCAGAAGUAGGAAUCAGGUCUCAGCUGCUCACCCAUAUCUCUGUGACCCAAGGAGCUUGAGAGACUGGCAGGAAGAAGUGGAAAUUUUUCACGGGCUCCAGUCAGACUGUUUCCACAGAUGUCCUUCAUGUUGGAUCAUUUCAUUGGUAGAACAAUUUUCAGAGAUGAUAAUAAGAGGGAUAAACUAGGAGAAGAACCUUCUGGUUCUAGAUUAACAAAGAAUUAGUGUAUGUGUACGUAUAUAUGCAUAUUUGUAUUGUAUACGUAUGUACACCCUAUUGUAUAUACACAAAAUAGAGAAAUAUCAAGUAUAUAGAUAAUAAAAUUUGCUUAAAGUGUACAUACGCUCAACACCAUUCAUAGGCACUGGAAUACUAUAGCAUAGAGAUCUGAAUUCAAAUCACAACUCCAUCUCUACACAAACUUGGAGAACUUAACUGGAUUUCAGCAAGAUGCAGUUUCUUCAUUUGAAGUAUAGGAUAAUAAUCACAUAACUCAUAAAGUUGUGACAAGAUUGGAAAAGGUAUUGGGCAUAAAAGGGAGAAAAUAAUGCCUGGGUCACAGUAAAUGUUCGAUAAAUGUAGCUUUCAUUUUUAUUGUUUUCCCUUUCGCUUAUUUUGGAUUUAACAUUCUCUUCUUUUUCUAGUUUCCUAAGGAAACUAAGAUCGUUGAUUUGAAAUCCUUUUUCUUUUCUAAUGUAAACAUCUAUUUAAUACCAUAAGCUCUAAGAACUGUUUUAGUUUCAUUCCACAAAUUUUGCUAUGCUGUGUUUUUGUUUCUAUUCAAGUCAAAAUGUUUUCUAAUAUCCUUUGUGAUUUUCUUUUUGUCCUGCAGGUCAGUCUCUAAAUAUUUGAAGUAUUUUGCAGAUAUAUUUCUGUUGCUGAGUUCUAUUUAAUUCUCUUAAGAUUCAGAGAACACACUUCAUAUAAUAUUAAUCCUCUUUAAUUGACUGGGACUUGUUUUAUGACCAAAAUAUUGUCUAUCUUAUUGAAUGAGGUAAGCGUAUUUGAAAAGAAUGUGCAUUCUGUUGUUGGAUGGAGGGUUUCAUCAAUUUUAAUUAGGUCAAAUUGGUUGAUAGUACUGUUAAAGUCUGCUACAUCUUCACUGAUUUUCUGUAUACUUUUGUUAUCACUAACUGUGAGUGAGGGGGCAGUUUUCUAAGUGUAAAAACUAUACAAUGUUAUCUUAUUACUAUAGCCACUUCAUCUUCCUUUUGAUUGGUGCUUGCUUGACAUAAUUUUUGCUGUUCUUUUAUUGUUAAUUUUAAAAAUCUAUAUGUUAAGUGGUGCCUUUCAGCAAACACGCAGUUGGGUAUUUUCUUUUAAUCCAAUUUAGUAAUUCAGUUCAAGUAUACAGACUUUUAGCAAAAUAGUUAUUGAUAUUAUUGAUUUUAUAUCUUCCAUAUCACUAUUUAAUUUCUAGUUAUUGAUAUUCUCUGUUUCUUUAUUCUUUUCUUAUUUUUUAAAAUUAGGUAAAUCAUUUUUAUUAUACUACUUCACACAUGAUGUAAGAACAUCACAUCAGGACACACUCAUUCAUUUCCCCUUCCAACUUUUAUGCUAUACUGCCAUACUCUUUACUUCUACAUAAGACAGAGUCCAGAAUUCACUAGAUUUUUUCUUGAAGAAUUAUCCAUCUUUUAAAGAAACUAGAAAACAAUGUUUUAUAUCAUAAUUGUUAUAUUUUUCUCUUUAUAUAUUCUUGUCAUUUUUUUUCCUACUUAUUGAUUUUUUUCCUGGCUUUAUGGAUUUUGUUCUAUAUAUUUAAGUAAUACUAGUUUUCAGUUGCUUCUGUUUUAUUUCUUGGUAUACAGUUAAGUUACCUGGAAGCAGUCAAAUCCUAUCAAGAUCUGUUAGGAUGGGUUCAGAACAGUCAUUUGUCUAGAGCUCAUUGGCUUCCGGGGCUAAGAUAGUGCCCUCCGAGGAUUCUACCCACUGUUUAUUGAAGUAUGAGGCAUUUCCCUUCUUGCUUUCAGGAUGAAAACUUAAUCCCAGCCCCGUGUGAGCCCCAACAGUUUUCCAACUAUUCCUUUCUGAUGUUUCUUUCCCCAGCCUCUCCGGAAUUUGCAGAUCAGAACUCAGCCAGUGAGUUGAAGAAAUCCUCUGUGUAUCUGAAUAGCUCUACCUCUUUCUUUGUGCAGCUUUCUUUUUUCUGGUACUCCUCAAAUUCUAUCUUCCUCAGCUCUCUAAACUCCUACCUCUAUCUCCUCCACUCAAGACUGGGUAGCUACAUUUAGGUCUCCCCCACUGUUUCCUACAAGCAACCAGGUAGUGAAAGCACAGGGUUUUAGGUGAACAAGUUAUCCUGGUUUGUCCAGGACUUUUCUAGUCUUAGCACUGAAAGGCUCUUGUUCUGGAAACAACGUAAGUCCUAGGCAAACUGAGAUCACUAAGAUAGUUGGUCACUCUAUAUCACAUUGUUGUUUUCCCUCAUUUAGGGAUCAUGGUGCUGUAUUAUCUUUGUUUUACAUCUGGGAAAAAAUACACAUAAUCUUCUGUUUUCUGAUUAUUUCCAAAUUACCCUAUUACUUCAUUUUGGCUACAAAUUGAUGACCUGAUUUUUUUUUUUUUAAGAUUAUUUGUUCCAAAUGAAAAAAUCAACUGGAGAAGGCAGAAUACAGACCACUAAGCGGCCUUGAAGAGUGAGGACAAAGCAAUCUUCCUAUCUGGACUCCCAGUGAAAGUGUUUUAUGGAGGCACAAGCCCCUUCUCGAAGGAAGGAUGGAUAAGAAUAUGUAAAAUCCAGUAAGUCUGUACUAUAGAAGAAUGUUUGCGAAUAAGGCCUGUGCUGUGAUUACAUGCAAGGACCCGAGUUCGAUCCCCGGUACCAAAAAAAAAAAAAAAAAA